CGCGCAGGCGGCCUGGUAAGUCAGAUGUGAAAGCCCGGGGCUCAACCCCGGAAGUGCAUUUGAAACUAUCAGGCUUGAGUAUGGGAGAGGAAAGUGGAAUUCCUGGUGUAGAGGUGAAAUUCGUAGAUAUCAGGAGGAACACCGGUGGCGAAGGCGACUUUCUGGACCAAUACUGACGCUGAGGCGCGAAGGCGUGGGGAGCAAACA
rnacentral:rRNA from 1 species